rnacentral:rRNA from 1 species
GAUGAACGCUGGCGGCGUGCCUAAUACAUGCAGGUCGAGCGAACAGAUGAGGAGCUUGCUCCUCUGACGUUAGCGGCGGACGGGUGAGUAACACGUGGAUAACCUACCUAUAAGACUGGGAUAACUUCGGGAAACCGGAGCUAAUACCGGAUAAUAUAUUGAACCGCAUGGUUCAAUAGUGAAAGACGGUUUUGCUGUCACUUAUAGAUGGAUCCGCGCCGCAUUAGCUAGUUGGUAAGGUAACGGCUUACCAAGGCAACGAUGCGUAGCCGACCUGAGAGGGUGAUCGGCCACACUGGAACUGAGACACGGUCCAGACUCCUACGGGAGGCAGCAGUAGGGAAUCUUCCGCAAUGGGCGAAAGCCUGACGGAGCAACGCCGCGUGAGUGAUGAAGGUCUUCGGAUCGUAAAACUCUGUUAUUAGGGAAGAACAAAUGUGUAAGUAACUAUGCACGUCUUGACGGUACCUAAUCAGGAAGCCACGGCUAACUACGUG